CCUCAUUAACCUAGUACAUUAUACUACUUCACUUCAUCUUCUCCUUCUGAGACCCAAACCUUAGCGCUGCCCCAAAUCCCCCACCUUCUCCGGUGCCGGCACCACCUCAAACCACCACCAAAUUCACACCCCAAGAUCCUCACAACCCCCCCUUUCCCAAUUCCUAACCAGUUUCCCUAGAAGCUCUCGAAUCUUCAAUCGAAACAGUCAGGCCCCAAACCCUAAAACCCCAAAUAUCUCGAAUCGGCAAGUUUCAUUAAUGGAUUGGGGUCGAGUUUGAUUUUAUUCGUGUGUUCUCAAUGUCAAUUUCGGCUAAAAUCGAAGGUGUUGAAGAGCUUUUCAACUUCCACUGUCCAACCGCCUUCUUAGGUACUUUUUUUGUUUGCUUUUCUUUCCUUCAUUUUUCAUUUUAUUUUUCACCUCAUCUUCUUCUGUUUCUUUCCUUUUCUUUCUUGUUUUUCUAUUUCUUAAAUCAUCGCUGCAUGCAUGUUAAUUUUAGUUUAUUUCAUUCAGCAUCUCUAUUAGCAUGUUUGAUUCUUUUGUUUUAGUUUUCGCUCAAAUUUCCCUCCUGUUUUUGUGUUAUUUGGAAUCUUUGGUUCCAGGAGUUCAUAUAAAUCCGAGUUGCCCUUUUCUUGAAUUUUUCCGUUGGGUUCUCGAUUGAAUUGAGGCUCUAUGAAUUAGAGGCCCAAAGAGAGGGAUUAAUCCGGGUUUUGAAAGCCCAUGUCUGGUUUGUCUUGGGUCAGAAUUGACCCAUGUAGUCUAUUGAGGUAAUUAGGAGGGAUUUAAAGGGUAGUUUAGGGAAUUUAAGUAAGGAAAUCUCUCAUAACUGAUUUAGGAAGCUACUACGAAGGUGGGUUUGGGACUGUUUUAACAAAUUGAUUUUAAAAUUAAGGACAUGCUAGCAAAAAUGAAAAUUAACUAAGGAGUAAAGGGCAAAAACUGAAAUCAUUUCUGCUUCCCUAGAGCUUCUCUAUAAAAGGUUGUUACUUCCUAAUCAAGUGAGAUUGUUAGUGACUAAAAAAUACUGAAAAUUUUAGAAGCGGCUGAGUUCUCUUUCAAAUUUCAAAAUACUGAAAAUUACUUGAAUUGUGCUUGGUUUUUCGGUUAUCUAAUUCCCAUUGUUAGUUAGAAUUUCUAAAAAGGCUCCAAAAUCGUGCACUUGGGUUGAAAAAUGGCUUGAGUUGGUUCUAAAGUUUGGUCUGAUUUGCUGCCUUAGUACUGUUUCAUUGUUGUUGGAGUACUGUUGUUGUGACUGAACUCCUCAUUUUGCUGACUCUUAAGCACAACUUCUUCUUUUGUUUUGAUUGUUGUAUCUAGGUACAUAUUCCUGGACUUUACUGAAUGUGAAGCUCGAUUUGAAGUAUGAAAUGGAAAAAUGGAGUUUAAAGCAUAACAUCAAUUCAUCUGUUUAUGAUUCAGCUAUAUUUGCUGCAUUACAUUGUGUUUUAUUGCCUGAUUCAUUGUAUCUUAACUGAUUUCUGGUUUUGAUAGAUGAACUCUUAUCAUUGUAUUCAAUCUUGGACUAUUAUGAUAUGGAUAUAACUUAGGUAAAUAACAUCUAAGCCAUAUGGUAGUAUUUUUGUUCGUGAUCAAUUUUUCUGGCUUUGUUUGUCUUGGUUUGGG
rnacentral:lncRNA from 1 species